AUGACCUUCAUCAUCAUCUUCAUCUGGACUCUAACAGCGUUUGCUCAAGAGUGUAGAGGACAGAUCACCGUCACUCAGAGUCCCUCAAUAACAGCAGAACAACCAGGAGGAACUGUGAAUAUCAAAUGUAAAACCAGCAGAGAUGUGAUCAGGGAUCGUGAUGGGGAUGAUUAUAUAUUCUGGUACUCACAGAAACCUGGAGAAGCUCCUAUACUCCUGAUUCGUUAUGCAAAAAAACUCCAGUCAGGAACUCCAUCUAGAUUCAGUGGCAGUGGAUCUAACAGUGAUUUCACUCUGACCAUCAGUGGAGUCCAGACUGAAGAUGCUGGACAUUAUUACUUGAUAAAGAGUCGUACAAAAACCUCCGUCAGUCAGAGUCACAGUGACUGA